UACGUAGGGGGCAAGCGUUGUCCGGAUUUAUUGGGCGUAAAGAGCGUGUAGGCGGCUUGGUAGGUCCGCUGUGAAAACUCGAGGCUCAACCUCGAGAUGUCGGCGGAAACCACUUGGCUAGAGUCCGGAAGAGGAGAGUGGAAUUCCUGGUGUAGCGGUGAGAUGCGCAGAUAUCAGGAAGAACACCUAUGGCGAAGGCAGCUCUCUGGGACGGUACUGACGCUGAGACGCGAAAGCGUGGGGAGCAAACAGG
rnacentral:rRNA from 1 species